UACGUAGGGGGCAAGCGUUGUCCGGAAUCAUUGGGCGUAAAGAGCGCGUAGGCGGCCCAGUAAGUCCGCUCUGAAAGUCAGGGGCUCAACCCCUGAAUGCGGGUGGAUACUGCUGGGCUAGAGUCCGGAAGAGGCGAGUGGAAUUCCUGGUGUAGCGGUGAAAUGCGCAGAUAUCAGGAGGAACACCAAUGGCGAAGGCAGCACUCUGGGACGUGACUGACGCUGAGACGCGAAAGCGUGGGGAGCAAACAGG
rnacentral:rRNA from 1 species